AGUUGAGACCACUGACCCUUCAACUGGGUCUGCAUGGGUGCCUGAGAGGUGGCCUUUUGAUAUCAGAGGGUCAAAAACUCCACCCUCAAGAUCAUGCUAAUGUUGCCAUUUUCUGUACAUAUGUCCUGUGAACUGUUCGUCCACCUCAUCUCUUGGUGACCUAGUGUGUAAAUCUUUUCUCUUUUGCAGAAUCUAUGUCACAGUGAUUGAUUUACUGCAUAUGAGCAGAAUGAACCUGGACCUGGCCAGUAUCAUUAAGCUGUGUUUCCCCUGAAGUUAUGUGAAAAGCAUUUGUGGAUUUAACAGAGUUAAGGGUCUCACUUCAUCACCUAGACUGGAGUACAGUAGCACAGUUGCAGCUUCCUACAUCUUGACUUCCUGGGUUCCAGUGAUCCUCCCCCUUCAGCCUCUCAGCAGAGAGAGAAAGAAAGCAGAGCUCUUUGAAGCAGAGAAAGAAAGCAGAAAGCAGAGAUCUUUGAAGGCUUAAGAAA
rnacentral:lncRNA from 10 species